CAAUCAGAUUCAACAGAGUUCUUUUUUGGCUUCAUUUCUCACUUUGAUCAAAAUGACUUCUCAGCAUGCAUGUUCUUACACACACACACACACACACACACACACACACACAACAUACCUACCUCUCUGAUAUAUGCUUCCUAUUAAUUUCUGCCUAGAAAACUCUUACUCAUCCUCUAAUACCCAUCUCAGAUAUAUCUCUUGUUUUAACCCUUCCUUAAUGUCUCUGGUAGAAUGUGUUAUCCAAUAACCCUCCCUGUCCCCCGACCCCACUCAACCCCAAUGAUCAGA
rnacentral:lncRNA from 1 species